GGAGUUAGCCGGUGCUUCUUCUGUGAGUGAUGUCCUUCCUGCCGGUUAUUGACCCGCAGGCCUUCUUCCUCACUGAAAGUGCUUUACAACCCGAAGGCCUUCUUCACACACGCGGCAUGGCUGGAUCAGGGUUGCCCCCAUUGUCCAAUAUUCCCCACUGCUGCCUCCCGUAGGAGUCUGGGCCGUGUCUCAGUCCCAGUGUGGCUGAUCAUCCUCUCAGACCAGCUACGGAUCGUCGCCUUGGUGAGCCGUUACCUCACCAACCAGCUAAUCCGACAUAGGCUCAUCCGAUAGCGCGAGGCCCGAAGGUCCCCCGCUUUCCCCCGUAGGGCGUAUGCGGUAUUAUCCUGGGUUUCCCCAGGUUAUCCCCCACUACCGGGCAGAUUCCUAUGCAUUACUCACCCGUCCGCCGCUCGCCACCAGGGAGCAAGCUCCCCGUGCUGCCGCUCGACUUGCAUGUGUUAGGCUCGCCGCCACGCGUUCAUCUGAGCCAUGAUACAACUACUGA
rnacentral:rRNA from 1 species